CAGGCUCAACAUCUUCAACUGAUGCCGGGACCUCUCCUCCAAGACGUAGGCGGAGACAUGAUACGUCAUCAUCUGCGGAGGAGAGGCCUCGCGGCCCAGAGACCGCUGGAGAGGAGGAAGCUGGUGGUGGAGGACAUGAAGCGGUCGCUCCUCCCGUUGGAUCCAACAGAGGUCGUCAAUCGAAAGCCAGAGGAAGUCGG